rnacentral:rRNA from 1 species
GGGUUGUGAGGUUAAGCGACUAAGCGUACACGGUGGAUGCCCUGGCAGUCAGAGGCGAUGAAGGACGUGCUAAUCUGCGAUAAGCGUCGGUGAGGUGAUAUGAACCGUUAUAACCGGCGAUUUCCGAAUGGGGAAACCCAGUGUGUUUCGACACACUAUCAUUAACUGAAUCCAUAGGUUAAUGAGGCGAACCGGGGGAACUGAAACAUCUAAGUACCCCGAGGAAAAGAAAUCAACCGAGAUUCCCCCAGUAGCGGCGAGCGAACGGGGAGGAGCCCAGAGCCUGAAUCAGUGUGUGUGUUAGUGGAAGCGUCUGGAAAGGCGCGCGAUACAGGGUGACAGCCCCGUACACAAAAAUGCACAUAUUGUGAGCUCGAUGAGUAGGGCGGGACACGUGGUAUCCUGUCUGAAUAUGGGGGGACCAUCCUCCAAGGCUAAAUA